rnacentral:rRNA from 1 species
UACGAAGGGGGCUAGCGUUGCUCGGAAUCACUGGGCGUAAAGCGCACGUAGGCGGAUCGCUAAGUCAGGGGUGAAAUCCUGGAGCUCAACUCCAGAACUGCCUUUGAUACUGGCGACCUUGAGUCCGGGAGAGGUGAGUGGAACUGCGAGUGUAGAGGUGAAAUUCGUAGAUAUUCGCAAGAACACCAGUGGCGAAGGCGGCUCACUGGCCCGGUACUGACGCUGAGGUGCGAAAGCGUGGGGAGCAAACAGG